UACGAACUGUGCAAACGUUAUUCGGAAUCACUGGGCUUACAGGGUGCGUAGGCGGCUUGUUAAGUAGGGUGUGAAAGCCCCCGGCUCAACCGGGGAAUGGCGCCCUAAACUGGCGAGCUGGAGUGAGAUAGGGGGUGUGCGGAACUUCCGGUGGAGCGGUGAAAUGUGUUGAUAUCGGAAGGAAACGCCGGUGGCGAAAGCGGCACACUGGAUCUCAACUGACGCUGAGGCACGAAAGCCAGGGGAGCGAACGGG
rnacentral:rRNA from 1 species